UACGUAGGGUGCGAGCGUUUGUCCGGAAUUAUUGGGCGUAAAGAGCUCGUAGGCGGUGUGUCACGUCGUUCGUGAAAACCUGCAGCUUAACUGUGGGCGUGCGGUCGAUACGGGCAUCACUGGAGUUCGGCAGGGGAGACUGGAAUUCCUGGUGUAGCGGUGAAAUGCGCAGAUAUCAGGAAGAACACCCGUGGCGAAGGCGGCUCUCUGGAACGCAACUGACGCUGAGACGCGAAAAGCGUGGGGGAGCAAACAGG
rnacentral:rRNA from 1 species